CCAGGAUCUGCUGAGUGACCACGCGCGCGUGAAGACGGAAGGCUGAACCAUUGCCCUCUGUCUCAAAUGCCAGGCUCCUGCUGCCUGCCUGCCUGGCUGGGCCCAGUGCCUGGGAUGCCAGGCGCAGCUGAUGACUGGAUGGAGCUGGACAUCCCCGGUCUCCAGGGCUGCAUGCGGGAUGUGCGCCCCCUACAGUUAAGCUCCCCAGAGGAAUCCAAGCCCUGACUCUGGGGAUGAAAACUCACAGAAGACCCACAGGGACCCCGGCUGAGACCACACUGUGCUUUUCUUAGCCACCAUGUACAACCAGGCAUAGACAAUAAUAAAAGUAGCCUGCAUUGAAAA